GGGGUACUGUGUGGCAUAAUGUGUAUUGGCAGCUCUGAAAUGUGACACAGGGUGACCUGAAGCACUACUGCGAUUCAUAAAAGAAACUAGGGCACUACUAUGGGGCAUAACAUUAAAUAAGGCAAUACUAGGGUUCGGAAAAUGAACUAGUGCACUAUUAUAGGGCAUACAAUUAACAACUGCUGCAGAGAAGUGUCUCUAGAAGCAUUGGGACAGGGGGCCCUUCAAAAUGUUGCUAUGGGGCCCACAAAGUUCUGGCUACGCCCCUGGUCCACUGCUCAGUUUAAAUUACAGCUUAGAAUGGGCACUAGUCUUGAGGCAAGAGAUCGGUCCAUUAGUGGAGAGGGUGAGAGGUUAAAAUCUCCAAAGUUUAACUGAGAGCUUUUAUUUAUGCAUAGCUACUGAAGUAAAGACUGUCCUCAAAAAACUUGCAUCUAAGUACACUGGUGCCGUUACCCAUGUUGACCCAAAUACAAAUUUAGAAAAAAAUGUAUAUUAAAUAAAAUAAAAAUUAUAAAAGCAUGCUUAAAUGUUAAUACAAAUACACAAUAUUUUGCAAAAAUCUAAAUAUCUAGACAUUGUCUUUAAAUGCCCCCCUGCCGACUGAUAAUUCUGUGAUAUAUCAAGCAGGAAACAAGAUGUGUAUAAAAAUGCAGUACAUGAUAAAACCUUUCAGCCAAUAAACCAAUGGGAAUGAAAGGAAGCUGGUUUUAUAUUUAACCACUAUUGGACAAUGCAUGCAGAUAAAUCGGGCAAAUUCUAAUGCAAUUUUAUCCAAAGACUAUCAUGCACUGACACAGCAGUAAAACAUUAACAGGGGCUGGGGAAGGAGGAGGCAGAGGAGGAGGAAACACUCCAGCAGAGAAAAAGCAAUGCCGUAAAGGGGACAUUACAUGCACAGCAGAAGGGAAAGGAGACCCCAUCACUAGCAAUCUCUGCACUUAGCGUGGAAACAAGGAUGGGUCAGGACACAACCCAGAUUUUAGAUCCAGCAUCGCCCAUUUUAGAAAACAUAAAAAACAGGAUACUGGGGGAUGACUGGGCUUUAGGAGGUCUCGUAGUGAUCGGAUCAUUUUGUCUGCUGUUCCUGACUUUGCUUUUGUUUGCCUUUGUGUUCAGCUGCUGUUCCUGUCAGAAACACAAAUCGGCUUAUCGAUAAGCUAAGACAGGCAGGUUUCCAGUCUCCAGGAUUUCACCUUUUUAUAACAUCGCUAUAUGGUUAUACAGAGAAGAACAGGGAGGGAGAUGGCUAUGGAAGGCUGGGAAAAAAAUGAAGAAUGCUGUGGAAGUGUAAAAAGUGGCCCAGGAUGAUAAAGUACUAUGCAAAGACAUAAAAAUAAGAAGAAUGAUGAAAAACUGAGAGACAAGAGAAUGAUAUGGAGAAAUGUGAUAAAUGAUAUUCUUGUUGCAUUAUAGGUCACACGUGAUGAAGAAAAACACAUACAGGAAUUGCUGUGCCUAUGGAUUUAAACAGAAUUAUUAGGCUCUAAGAUACAGUUAUGGGGUUUACUCCUUAAAAUAUACCAUUAUAUGCGGGUACCUCAGACUAUCUCCUCUGGUUCUCUGAUUUGCCGGUUAUCUUGUUCUUAGGUAUAUUUGUCUGUCUGCCCAAUCAACAACUUAACCAUGUGAUCAUCUAAUUACCUACUAAUUUGCUUGUAUGUUUUGGUGUGGCUCCACCUCAUUAUGGUUUUACAUUCAUCUCGUAAUAUAUCCCCCUUUACUGAAUCAUACUACUUUGUGUUCCAUUACAGUAUUGUGCCAAUUUUCUUUUCUUGAGAUGUUCAUUUAAUGAUUUGUAUCUCACUUGACUAACCCCAUCCCUUGAUGUUGAUCCAAUUCCCGUUUCCCCCUUUUAUUUUCUGUACCCUGUUCCCAAUCCUUAUCUGUUUAACUCAUUAAAAAUCUAAAAUUGAAAAAUA